CCUAUUGUCUCUAAGUCUUCUGAAAAGAUUUGUUUACUAGCCAAGAGAUGGUUUCCGGCAAGAAAAAAACAUUUGUGUGUGUCUCUUGUACAUCGCCUGCUAAGGCACUUGUCAAGAAAACCGAUGGAAAUUUUAUCAAACUUCUGGAAUGUCCAUCCUGUGGGGCAUUGGUAGACAGAUAUGUCGAAUGUGAGAGGAGCAUCAUAUUUAUGGACAUGAUACUACAAGAUAUUACAGUUUAUAGACAUAUCCUCUACAAUGCAGACAAUUUUGCUUCUCAGUUCUACAUAAAGCUGGCAGUGUCCCUAAUGCUGAGUGAAGGAUAUGUUCGGUGGAGUAACCUCGCCCAGAAUCUUGCUGCUGGAAAGGGAAUUAUGAACAAUGAGGUUUAUAUGUAUAUCAUGUGCUUCAUGGCAUUUGUGGAACUUGGGAUGUUUGGCAUGGUAAUUUUGGGAUACUCCUAUGUUAAGCAUUCUCACAAUCACUUCUCAGAAAGAAGCUACCAGUCUUCAAUGCUGUUCUCCUUGGUCAGUGUGGACGACUAGCAAACUUAGCAGCCAUUAUCUGGUACCCAGGGUUCAGCACAACAUUUCAAGUGUUAAUGCUUGUUUUUGUGUUUGUAUCAUCUGUGCAAAGCACUAGAGCUGCAUUACAUUUAGGGAAAAUAGAAAGUUUGCUCCUACUGACUGUGGCAUUUUCUAGCAGUAUGUUUUCAUGUCAUAAAUUACAGCCAAUUUUGCUUGACAGCUACCAUUCUUAUGUCCAUAGCCAUGUGUACACUAAACAACCUUUUGUACUAUGAAAGCUUGAUUAAUAAACAAUGUUAUACAAUUCUUGAAUUGAGAAAAGGUAACAUGCAA
rnacentral:misc_RNA from 1 species